CACAAGGAGAACCUCUAGUAGUAAUGCAUAUUUUAAAAUGUUAAGAUAGUCAUAAUUUAUUCUGAACUUUAAAAGAAUGUGUUCUAUGUUAUAACAGUUAUAAUAUUUGUUAUACUAAACAAAUUUUUACAAAGGUCUUGUCUCUCCCUUCAAAAUUUGUUUAUUAAGAGCUAUGAUUUAUCUUUAUUUCAACUCUUGGUUCACCUCCCAUGGAGUACAGUAAAGUGCCUCAUGCAAAAUAGGUACUGAAUUACCUAACUCAAUAUUAAAUUACAGAAUGAAAGAAUACAUUGUGAACACCCAGAAUAUUUUAAGUACCAAAAGAUUCAUACAUUUUUAAUAAGUGAUCUUUGGGUUUUUUCAAGAAAAUAAUUUUUUAUAGUUAAAGUAUAAAAUAAUGGCUAUGGUGUUCUAAUAUACAGAGAAAUGAUUUAAGGAGACAAGUCUAAGUGAAAAGAAGAAUUAGCUCUCAGCUGUGCAGCCAGAAAUUCUGAGUUAUGUUUGGAGAUUGCUAUUAUAUGUUUGGUGGAAGUCUUUUGACCUCAAUUCUUUAAUUUAUUUGCCAAUUUUAUGUGUCUUUAUAUAUUUUAUAUGCUGUAUUAAAAUGUGUUCCAGUGGAUUUAUACUCAAUAUUUGAUUUUUAAAAGCUUAAAUGCCACUCUCUUAAAAGUCAAUAUCCUGUUUAUAAUAGGUAAUUUUAUAUGUCAACUCAGCUAGGCCACCAUAUCCAAAUAUUUGGCCAAACAUUAUUCUGGAUGUUUCUGUGAGGGUAUUUUUUUGAUGAGAUUAGUAUCUAAAUUGGUGGGAUUUGUCUGAAGUAGAUUGUCUUCCAUAAUGGUUAUCUAUGAACCGUGAAGUGGGCUUCAACCAGAUACUAAAACUGCUGGCAUCUUGAUCUUGGACUUCCCAGCCACCAGAACUGUGAGAAAUAAAUUCCUGUAUUUAGAAGUUACCCAGUCUAUUGUAAUAUGUUACAGCAGCCCAAGUGGACUAUGAUAUUACGUAAGUGAAAAUGUGCAACUUCCUGCAAGGGUACCUAAAAGGUACCACAAGCCACUUACCACUUCUGAACAAAAAUAACUUUCCUUUCAAAUUAUAUCUGUUCCACUCUUCAGAUUGAAGAGUGUCUCCAGUUCAUUUAGAGUUUUUAUUUUCUCUGUCCUAUGGAGGUAUAAUUUUGGUUUCACUUAGAUUCAUUUAGAAUUGAACUUAAAGUCACUGUGCCUAAAGUAUUGAUUUGGGGCCACACUUUUGUGUUUUUUGGUUUUGCUUUUUGCAUUUUUUGCAAUUUUUGCCCUAAAUAUCCAUUAGCUUGGUAACCAGCAAACAUAGGCUAACUGUGAAUUGGAUGCCCUAAAGUUGCUGGAGUUAAUUGCUUCAGAUGCUUUCUACCUGUAACUGGCCUACUUUGGAUCUUGGUGGCCUCAGGUGUUGUCUGUCCAACUGUAACUUCAGCUUUAGCACUGCCACUGGCCCUUUGGAUUUGAUGUCCAUAAUUGGGUUUUGUGGCAUUUAAUUAUUGAUUCACCCUAGAUGAUAUUCAGCAUGUUUUUACUUUCUAUCAUUUCCAUUCUGAGUUGGCAUGACUCAAAUUUUCCCCUCAGUAUCCUGGUUGUUUACGAGGCAGGAGCAGCCAUUCUGGAGAAAAGGGAGGGAGUUGGAAAAUAGGGAAGUUUGAUCAUUUAGUCACAAGUCUCACUUUUUCCUUUGAGAGAAGAGCCAUAGCUUUCAUCUGAUGAGGGGGCAAUGAAAGGUUUUAGGUAGAAGAGUGAGCUAACCAGAUCUUUCUAAAAAUAUGACUUUGGUGGCCACAUGGAGGAUGGAAUUGAGGAGGGACUCUUUCAGAGGGUAGUAAUGGCUGGGUAGUGCUGAGAACAGUCUGGAUGAGCGACAAUGAAAGCCUAAGUUUAAGCAUUAAGCGUUAAGCAAUGAUGAUGGAUGGAAAAGAAAUUUAAAGAACUCUUCAGGGUAUGCCAAUAAAAAGACAUAGAGAGCAGCUGGAUCAUGAACAGGAAGUCAAAAAUUCCAGAAUGGCCUCCCAUUUGUGGCUUGAGAAACCACCAUGAGAUGGUCUGUUCCCUGAAAUGGCAGAAGCGAUGAACAAGAGUAAAACUGAGUGAAAGACAGUAAAUGUGUCUUGUGAUAUGCUAGUUUGAGAGCCUCUGAACCGUCUAGAUGGAAAUGCCUGGCAAGCAUUUGGAAACACGCAUCAGGAGGUCAAGACAGAAGUAUGGAUGGCAGAAGUGGAAGUGGAAAUCCCCAGCUGCUGAAGCCAAUAAAAUGGACAGGAUCACUGAAGAGAACCCAGGCCCAGAAGAAAGUUCUCAAUCAAAGAUAGAAUCACGGGGAACAGCAAAUCAUGAAGAAAUGGAAGAGAAUGCAAGAGAAUCCUGAAAGAAAACGUGAGAAAGAGGGGUAAGAAAGGAUGAGGAUGUGUUUAAGGAGAAAGAGAGGAUUCUGUGUAAUUUACUAUCACUUGAGGAAAAUAGGUUAAGCAGCUGUGGCAGACGCAAAGCCCUGUGUUCAAUAAUCUGUUUGUUUUUGCCCUCCUGGGUUCCAGGAAGACUGCAUUUUCCAGUCCUUCACUGCCUCCAAGUAGGAUGGAGAGAUUGAACACGGGCCAGUGGAAAGGAGUUGGAGGUGAAAGUAACAUAGCCUACUUCCCAGAAGACAUAUCUGGAAAUUUGCGUCCAAUAAAAGAUCUGGAAAGAGCAGCAUGUCCACCUGCUUGAUUAGCCAUCAGCCACUGCCUUCCAACUCUGGGUGCUCAGAAAUGUAGGGCUUCUCAGCCCCACCCCUCAAGUAUGUUCCUCAUUAAAUAUACAGCAACCAUUGUUCUCCUUACACCUUUGAGAGCUUCAGAAUGCUAACGUCUUAUUUAAUCACUCCUGUCUUUAUCACUUCCUUCAGGAGUCUUUCAUUCAUUUGCUCAGGCUGUGUUCAUUCAUCUCCAAUUUGCCAGACACUGAGCAAAGUGCUGGGAAUACAAACAUUAAUAGGCAUCAUCCCUAAAGUCUAGGUGCACACUGCCUGCUAAUUUAAGUGUUGGUGAACAUGGCAAUGCUUCAUGUAAAAUCUAUAGAAUUUUAAAUUUGCUAUGUUCAUUAAUUAGUGAAUGCUAUUGCAUGACCUAGUAGGUGAAGACUUGAAUGGUGCCUACAAUAAAAUCAAGCAAAGUAUUCUUAGAAAAUAGAGUUCAUUAAAUCUAGGCGUUCCUGUUAUGGCUCAGUGGAAAUGAACCCGGCUAGUAUCCAUGAGGAUGCAGGUUUGAUCCCUGGCCUCACUCAGUGGGUUGCUGCGAGCUGUGGUGCAGGUUGCAGAUUUGGCAUGGAUCUGGCAUUACUGUGGCUGUGGUGUAGGCCAGCGGCCCUAAAAAAAAAACCACUAAAUCAUACCUUAAGUGUAAAUGUUUAUAUAUGAUACAUGCACAUAACAUAUUUUAAUUUCUACACAUUGGUCAACAAAAAUUCAAUAUUGAAAUUAUGAAUAUUGAAUAUUGAAACAUUAUCCAGUUAAUAAUUAUUUCAAACAUUUAAAAAAUGGUAUAAGUUGAUCAAGUCCUCUGUUUCUCUAUUUCUCUGACUUCUGGAUUAUCCAGUAAUGAUUUCAGUAUUUUCUCUGCCCUUUAUGCAACCAUAGGAUACCAAGGCUAUCUCAAGGUCUAAAUCAAGCUCAGACACAUUAGCCUCUAUUUACAAUAGAAAUCAAGAAAUAUUUUCUUGCCCAGUUACACAAAAGAUAUGGGAGUGAGUAUACAGCCCAGGUUGUAGAAGGAGUUAAGAAUGAAGUAAUUUUACUAACUUACACAACACAAAGUAUAAAUGUAAUGCCUAGUUAUAGACACUCUCAACACUCAUUUCUCUAGUUUGCUACCUAUUGACUUUGGUCUAUAAAUCCAGUGUUACUGCAGAAAUUGUAGACAGUAGCUCUGUUUGGCACAAUCUAUGAGAUUAGGUAAUUUUAUUGUCCCACCAAAGAAGAAAUACUUCAAAAUAAUAUCACAUAAUUCCCACAGCUUAUCAGUCUGUUCUGAUGCUGACACUGUUGCUUUUGAAAAUUAUAGUUUCUUUUGCAUAGCUUUUUGUGCUAACAAUAUUAUUCGGUCAAGGUAUAAUGAAAACAAACUCAUUUAUUGUCAGUCACUGUUCAGAGUAAGAGGCAGAAAAAACUGCUGCAGAAGCUUUCUGCAAGCUAAUUGCCUAAGUUCUAAGAAACAUUCCACAAGAACUCGUCACAAGAAUAAAAAUAAGAAUAGUUUUGGAAGUAGUGACUGUGACAUUCACUUUGCAGGCAUCAUCGUAUUUCGGCCUCACAAAAGCUCUGCAAAUCAAGUAUAAUUGUUAACAUUUUAUAGAUGAGGAUUUUGAAGGUCUGGGAGAGAACUUGCUUAAGUUAAUACACCCUUAUAGACGGUGGGACUGGAAUUAAAAGCCCAGAAUGUGCUGCCCUUGCUUUCAAAUUUUAAGAAAUUUUUCUUUCAAAAAAAUUUUCUAAACUAAGAAAAUUAAAAAAAAAAAAAAAAAAA